AGUAAAUAUCCUUCCCCCAACAGAUUGGACAUUCAUAAAUACUUGAAGGAAAUAUACAAUAGAAAUUUGGAAACAUCAUAACUGCUGCAGGUUUGAAAGUAAUUUCGAAAGAUAUCAUGAUGCCUACUUGGGGGCCAAACCCAGAGUUUAGUUAUGUCCAACCGACGAACACGCUCCGUACCUUCGGCCGAAAAUAUCCCAAAAACAAGCAACAAAUGCGAAUAAUUAUUUCAAUUAUUUCAUCUUUCCGACUACAAAUAGUAAAAUUUAUGGAGCAGCUUCUGCUACAUUGGCUUUCA